GUGUCUGCUGAUGGCCUCGGUAUCUUCAGUCGAGUAUCUCCAGUGCAAAAAGCACACCUGAAACGUUCGAGCAGCAGCCACAAAUGAACUCAUUACAACCAUUUGUGGUGACUGGGCUCUGAUGAAUCAUGAGGAGAGGGGAAUAAACGUGUGCUGAGUAGAGCCAGCCUGUCCAACACAUUCUGUCUAGAGAGACUCUGCACAGUAAGAGCAAAGCAAAGAGAACAUGCACAGAGAUGAGCAGAGAGCUAAAACUGACCCAUCAAUGCGGGGAUGUUCGAGAAGCUAAAAAAGGACCCGCUUUAAUUUUCCUAAACUAACGUGGAUCAGCUGAAUGACACAUGCAUCCAGUUUGGAUGCACUUAGCUGUUAAAAUGGGCUUCACCUAUGAAGAAUUAAACCAAGCAAAUGCCUUUUGGAUUACAAACAAAAACAAACAGAAAUCAAAACAAACAAAACCAAAAAAAGCCUCACAUUGUACUCCAGUGCAAUUUGAUCAGCCUGUUGGAAGAGUCGUUUUUGUGUUUGUUUAAGCAAAGCAGGCUACCCCAAACACUUGCUGGCAUGCUGGCGGGUAAGAGUUCCUGUAUCUCCUCGUAGUCCCACACACCUGCACAAAGCAGGGAGUUGGUACCUGUGGAGUAUUGAUGCUCCCAACUCUUCUGCAAAAUCACUCUCCUUAUUCUCAUCUCUUUUGUAAGCAGCAGAGCAAAGCAGCUGGACUGCGUUUCACCUUAACCUCGAUGAGACCAGGUUUUUCGGAACAAAAAGCACCUCUGAAAGUCCUGGUGCAUUUUCUGUGAGAUUAACAACUUGGUUCGUUAACCGAAGAGCUGAGAAAAGCAAAGUACCCACCGGUGAUCUCUAGGUGAACAGAGGUCCCUGGAUACUGCCCAGGGGAGACUAACUGCACGAAGAUGAACCUGACUUCUGGUCUGCAGAUCUGAGGAAGAAGCAAGUAAGGAACCAGACCUUACAGAGCAAGAGGAACAAAACACAGAGGAAAGAAGAAGCUGGGCUCCUGACGUAACUAUGCUGAGAUUUCAAGCAUUUUGUUCAAACUCUCACGUUUGGAAGACCGUUCUUUCUUCAUCACCUGUCCUGAACUGCUGCUCUGUGCUGAUGAACAGUCUCUGCAUCCCACCAGCUGGCCACCAGGGGACAGCGAGUGAGUGGCUGCACAAGAGCAGAGCACAACACUUCUACAGCAAAGGAAGCAUUCACCAGGACCGCAGAACAAAUAUCCUUGCAAGGGAUAUUCCUCUUCACACCUUCCUGUCUCCUACGGUACACUGAUAGUCUUAUUAGUUCUCCAAAGAAGAUUGUAAAGGAGAAGUGUUAGAGACUAGCUCAGACUAGAGCUCAAUUGCUGUGGGUUACAUUUUGUUCUACGUUUUAUGCAGUUCGUGUUGCCAAGAUUUGACUUUAUUAAGGAAGACUGACACUAUGCAACAGCUGCUCUCAGAAAAAACAAACAAAAAAACCAACAAAAACUUAUUUAGGGCAUUUUACAACUUUGCAGCCUAAAUAAUGUUCUUUUAACAUGGUUUUGUAUGCAUGUUUAAUGAAAUUCAGUAGUGAUGGCACCACGUUACCUCUCUGAGGCCCCAUUAGUGUCAUGAGUGAAGUGGGACCCUUUAAAAUCCUCUUCACUGUCAGGACAGCCAAAAAGAAAAAUAGAAGAUGAUGACCUACAGACAUGACUGCUUAACACAGCACUGGAGAGAGGGGGAAAGGGUGGGAGCAGGCAUCUCACAGGACAGGUAGGAAUGGAAAUCUUGGACUUCCAGCACUCUGCUGAGACCAGACACUUCCAUAUAAGACAGAUGACUUCUAACCUGACCUUCUCCUAACUCUUUCUUCCUCAUCUUGGUGGAACUUCCAGCCUUGACUCCUUUGGAAAGAGGCCACAAAGGCCUGAGAACCACUCGCACACUCCCUGUAGGCUGAAGCAGUAACAGCAUCAGGCCUGAGUGCGGCACCGAACGCACGGAGCGCCGUGGGACUUUCCGCAGCAAGGAUUGUGAAACCUGCCUGCCUUGCAAGAGUCUCGGCUUCUUGGGAGCACUAAGACACGGUUUGGCACAAAGCAGAAACUUACGCUGCGUGAUCGAGACACACAAGACUUCCUAAGAACUGGGCUGCUAAUUUAGGAAUAACCGAGCAUUACUCCGUGCAGUUACACCAGGGAAAAACAGACCUUUGCUCUUGAAUCUUGCUCUUCCUUUUAUUUUGUAAAGAAAGCUGCUUUUCUUUUGGAGCUUUGGCUAAAGAAACAUCUCACUAGAGAACAGUAAACACGCAUAUCUUUGUAGCAAGGCUCUUCUGUACCCUUUCACGGUGCAAAAGCAAAUACUUGCAAGAUGUCCCUGAAGAAGCUGAGCACUCCCAGCACGCUCACUUGCGUUGGAGGUAUUCAUUCCACGUCUCAAACACCGAUUUAAAAAAUAAUUUUGCAACAAUCCAGCUCUUUAUCUGAGGACAAAGUUCAGAUGCUAACUGUAACCAAUAGCCCCCGAGGCUUUCAGCUGGGUGUUUGGCAUCAAACAAAGAACAUGACAAGCUGCCCAGUGGGCAGAUAGGGGAGAGAACACUGCCUUUACGUCAGUUAUGUGGGGAAAAAGAAACUUAACUUAGGCUUUAGAGCAGCUGUCAGGUUUUUUUUGUGUGUAUUUUUAUUCUUUUGUUAUUUUUCCAAAAGAGAUUGCCCAACGAUUUAAAAAUAAACAAAACAGGAACUCCACUUCUGCAAGAGAGAACAUCACAAAAGUAAGCGUUUUGCAAUGUGGACUUGCUAAGGGGGAUGCAAAACCGUUGCUGCUAGGAGGAUUUCUGUAACAAGAAAGGAUUCUUGUCAGAGACUUUGGGGCAGGAGAAAGAAGAGAAAAAUGAAAGCACAAGCUGAGAUUUUACAAGACUUUAGCAGCAACAAAAAAACAAGCCAAGAGGGUUUCCUCCUUUCCCUGCAAAUAGAGCGGAGGCCCUGCAUGUUCCAGAGCACUCCUCAAAUCUAAUUCUCUGAAUCCUCUGAACUGGAUAUGCUCCAGAACCCGAUAUAUUUCAUAAGCCAAGAAAUUAGGGUUCUAAUCUACCUGGGUGGGUAUUUACUCCCAAAUCCUGCUGGGUGUAAGCUGGCUUGUGCUGAAAGCAGAAAGAUGCGUUAGCAGCCAUCAUGUGGUUAGUGGUCAAUCCUGGAAAAUCAUUUGAGAGCAGCGAGCACAGCUAAGGGAGGAGGAGGGAAUUCUGACGCUGGUUCUGCACAAAUAUUUGGGGGUGCCCACCUGCAUGAUGUCCUGGAGGCUCUCGGUGAAGGACAGCUCAGCCUCCACCAUGUAGAACUCUGCCAGGUGCCGGCGACUCUGCGAGUUUUCGGCUCGAAACGUUGGCCCAAAGGUGAACACGUGGGUAAAGGCCCUGUGAGGAGACAAGAACGAGAUGGACACUGCCUCUGCAAAUAUGGAUUGCAGACAAAUUACAUUGGUGGGUGCAUGACCACAAAGUGCCAUGGUUUGGGCCCCAUUUGCAAGUUCGGGAGAUUCACACUGAGCAAUAACUGAUCAGUUUCGAAGGAGAUCUUUCCUCUCUGUCAGUGCACAAUGAAUCCUCCUGGCACAGUCCCGCCUGAUCUCUGAUAGGCUUUACCAGCAAUGCAGCUGGCAGACAGCUGAAUUUGGUACGACAUCUGAGGAUAACCCACAUCCUUAGGGCCCAGAACAUUGUGCCUCCCAAUAACAGGUUGUUUUGAUGUCAUUACAUCUGUUUGAUGUGCCAACUUAGUUAAUUUAUUGUGAACAUUCAGUGUAGGUGAGGAUCAAACCCACUAAUCAAAGGGAAAUGUGGCUCUGACAGGCUGUGACACUUUCACCACUAUCAAUCUCGGUGAAACAUUAACAUUAAAAGCUUAAGGAUAAUUUUUUAUUAAAGUCAGUAUUACCUGUUCAACUAUGAUCACUUUGGUGGCUAGAUUGAACAAGCAUCUAGUGUGAAAGCCACGAAAUGGAAGAAAUCAGAAUGGGCAGAGGGAAGAAACACAACUGGAAGACUGAAGGAGACAGAGGAAGGAAGUUUGAACCAGAAUUCAACAGGAGCCCUGCUUCCACCCUCCUAGGCUGGCCUCUCACACCAUCAUUCAGCCACUGUUGCUCACUUGGUUUCUGGCACACGUGGCAGGUACCUGCUGGGUACCAACGGGGCAAAAUUGGCAAGUGAAAACUCACAGAUCAACCCAAAAACUUGG